UACAGAGGUCCCAAGCGUUGUUCGGAUUUACUGGCGUAAAGGGCGCGUAGGCGGUCAGCACAAGUCAGUUGUGAAAUCUCCGGGCUUAACCCGGAAAGGUCAACUGAUACUGUGCGACUAGAGUGCGGAAGGGGCAACUGGAAUUCUCGGUGUAGCGGUGAAAUGCGUAGAUAUCGAGAGGAACACCUGCGGCGAAGGCGGGUUGCUGGCCGACACUGACGCUGAUGCGCGAAAGCCAGGGAGCGAACGGG
rnacentral:rRNA from 1 species